UAAUAUAAAGCUAUUAAAUACGUAUUUUCAUGUCAUAAACGAUCCAAAGGGGUACCAAUUAUUUGUAAAUAUAAAUAGACCUUUCUACACCUUAUUUUCAACCGUAAAAUCAUUUCACCAGUUUCUCUGCACGAAUACCGAGAGAAACCGAGCGGUGUUCUUCGUGUUCUUCAUAAUCAAACGAAGAUUUGAAGGUGUUAUUGGAGUCAGAAUCAAGCGUGCGAAUAGUCAAAUCGAAGGUAUCGAAGAGUAGAACCCAAAUCAAUCAUCAAAAACAACAUGAGAUUCACAGGAUUUGGAGGAGACGUGUACGCUCGAAGACGUCAGGAAGUCGGAAUGGUAUUGCAAAGCGAAUAAGGGAUAAAUCGAGUAAGCGAAGUGAUGUGGCGAAUAGAGUAUAGCUAGGGAUGGUCUAGAGAUUAUGAGAUGCAUAGAUUGUGAAAGUGGAAAGAUGGGAAUGAGCUGUGAGACUGGAGUCAGAUUUAAGGCAAGUAUCCUGCACCCUGCUUUUGGAUAUAUUGCAUAUUCUGAUCCAUUCUUUUUAUAUGUGUUGCAAGUAUCCUAAACCCUUUUCUUGGAUAUAUUGCAAAUAUUCUGAUCCAUUCCUUUGGUAUCUGUUGCAAGAAUUCGUACCAUUCCUUUCUAUAUUUAAAAGUGCGAGUAUUCUGACCCAUUCUUUCUAAUCUUCAAGUUUCUAAAGAAUUUCCGUUUUACAAAUUAAUUCGAAGUUCAGAUUGUCAUUGAAGCAUGUGUUGCUCAGUGAUAGUUAGAGCUUUGAAUGAAUUGGGAUCUUCUUGAUUAUUCAACCCGCCAUUGUCAUGCUGGUUUAGCAGGCUAAAUUCAGUUGCUUAGCCGAUAAUGAAGGAUACUGAAUAGUUGAGGAUUUCCUGAACUGUGAUUUAUGAAAUGAAGGAUCAUGAUUUAUGAAUAGAUUAUUAUCAGAGUUUGAUUUGAAAUUAUUCAGUUGUUGAUGAUAUUUAUGAUGAUGUUCUGUUAAUUUACAUUGGCUUCUUGAAUUGAAUUAGAGAAUUGGAUUAUUGUUUUUAUAUAAACCUGUGGACCAGAUUCGUGGUCAUGUUAGGCCAAUGAGUGCCUUGGAUCCAGUGAUAGAGCAUGGCGGGGCCUGCUCGGGGUUAGUGCGGAACUGAUCAGCUGCCUAACCUUGGUUUUAAUUAAAAUGUGAUAGUCCAAUUCAAUAAUUCUUUGGAAAGAUUGAAUUUCUCAGUUUAAAUGUUGCAAGGUAUUGUAAAUCAUUCUAUACAAUACCAUGAACUCAUGAACUCAGGUUGAAUCCUCUUAUAUCUUGAA